GUACACCCAUCAACGAACUCAUUCGUACGGCAGGAGCGGGGGACCCAGGUAAGUCGCCGGACCGGACGACACACGUGACGCAGCGCAUGCCGCGACACGCGGUCGCACCGGGACGGCUUGGGGUUAAGCCGUGCCUCUCGCGGGGCACGGCCGGGCACCUCCCCGCCCGAACCCGACAGCUCACCUCGCAGGCGUAGGAGAGGAACGUC
rnacentral:sRNA from 2 species